rnacentral:rRNA from 1 species
UUUGGCCUACGGGGCACAGCAGUGAGGAAUAUUGGUCAAUGGGCGGGAGCCUGAACCAGCCAAGCCGCGUGAGGGAAGAAGGUACAGCGUAUCGUAAACCUCUUUUGUCAGGGAACAAAGGCGGGGACUAGUCCCCGGAUGAGGGUACCUGAAGAAAAAGCAUCGGCUAACUCCGUGCCAGCAGCCGCGGUAAUACGGAGGAUGCGAGCGUUAUCCGGAUUUAUUGGGUUUAAAGGGUGCGCAGGCGGCGUGUCAAGUCAGCGGUAAAAUGUCGGGGCUCAACCCCGGCCGGCCGUUGAAACUGG